rnacentral:lncRNA from 1 species
GUCGACGGCCGCCGGAUCGUCGACAUCCUCACCGAGCAGGGCAUCGUGCCCGGGAUCAAGGUCGACAAGGGCCUCGUCCCGCUCGCCGGCUCCAACGACGAGUCCUGGUGCCAGGGCCUCGACGGCCUCGCCGCCCGCGAGGCCGCCUACUACCAGCAGGGCGCCCGAUUCGCCAAGUGGCGCACCGUCGUCAGCAUCCCCAACGGGCCAUCCGAGCUCGCCGUCAAGGAGGCCGCAUGGGGGCUCGCCCGCUACGCCGCCAUCUCGCAGGUACGCCUUCUUGCUUGCUUCUAGCCAUGGAGAUAGUUCAUCCAGCUAAUUAAUAAAAGCUAACACCGAUGGAAUGGAAUCGACCGAGCAGGACAACGGACUUGUGCCGAUCGUAGAGCCGGAGAUCCUGCUGGACGGCGAGCACGGCAUCGAGCGGACCUUCGAGGUGGCGCAGAAGGUGUGGGCCGAGACCUUCUACGCCAUGGCGGAGAACAACGUCAUGUUCGAGGGCAUCCUGCUCAAGCCAUCCAUGGUGACGCCGGGCGCCGAGGCUAAGGACCGGGCCACGCCGGAGCAGGUCGCCGAGUACACCCUGAAGCUCCUCCACCGCCGCAUCCCGCCCUCCGUCCCCGGCAUCAUGUUCCUCUCCGGCGGGCAGUCGGAGGUGGAGGCGACGCAGAACCUCAACGCCAUGAACCAGGGGCCCAACCCGUGGCACGUGUCCUUCUCCUACGCGCGGGCGCUGCAGAACACCUGCCUCAAGACGUGGGGCGGCGUGCCGGAGAACGUCAAGGCGGCGCAGGACGCGCUGCUGCUGCGCGCCAAGGCCAACUCGCUGGCGCAGCUCGGCAAGUACACCUCCGACGGCGAGGCCGCCGAGGCCAAGGAGGGCAUGUUCGUCAAGAACUACAGCUACUAAUUCAUCGGCUAGCAACUCCGACGAUACAUACUGGUUACGCAAGCUAAGCACGUCUUCGCCGUGAUGAUCCAUGCAUGGUGCUCAUCGAUGCUUUGUGCGUGCCGUUAGUUACUACUGCUAGCUACU